GAAGCAAAAUCUCAACUUUAUUAGAAGAGACGCAUUUAUUAGAUAAAAAGCCAAUGCAUGCUUUUACAGUAUGAAAAUUGGUGAUUUAUAAUAACUUAGCAAAUCGCAWAGUGAAAACAGGCGAUAAAUCAUUCAAGUUUCUGACCUAUCAGCUUUCGACGGUAUGGUAUUGGCUUACCGUGGCAGUGACGGUUAACGGGGGAUUAGGGUUCGAUUCCGGAGAGGGAGCCUGAGAAACGGCUACCACAUCUAAGGAAGGCAGCAGGCGCGCAAAUUACCCAAUUCUAACAGUUUGAGAGAGGUAGUAACAAGAAAUAACAAUACAAGGCAGUUAAAAUGCUUUGUAAUUGGAAUGAUAGAAAUUUAAACCCUUUUUAAAGUAUCAAUUGGAGGGCAAGUCUGGUGCCAGCAGCCGCGGUAAUUCCAGCUCCAAUAGCGUAUAUUAAAAUUGUUGCAGUUAAAAAGCUCGUAGUUGAAGUUCUGCUAAAAGUAACCGGUCUGCUUUGAAUAAAAGUGGUAUCUUGGUAUGUAUUUAGCAAUGAUGUCCUUUGAAGUGUUUUUUACUUUAUUGUAAUAAAGCAUAUUCAGGACUUUUACUUUGAGAAAAUUAGAGUGUUUCUAGCAGGCCAACGCUUUGAAUACUGCAGCAUG
rnacentral:rRNA from 1 species